rnacentral:rRNA from 1 species
CCUACGGGAGGCAGCAGUGGGGAAUAUUGCACAAUGGGGGAAACCCUGAUGCAGCGACGCCGCGUGAGCGAGGAAGUAUCUCGGUAUGUAAAGCUCUAUCAGCAGGGACGAAAAAAGACGGUACCUGACUCAGCAGCCCCGGCUAACUACGUGCCAGCAGCCGCGGUACUACGUAGGGGGCAAGCGUUAUCCGGAUUUACUGGGUGUAAAGGGAGCGUAGACGGCAAGGCAAGCCAGAAGUGAAAGGGCAGGGCUCAACCCUGUACAUGCUUUUGAAACUGGGGUGCUAGAGUGCAGGAGAGGUAAGUGGAAUUCGUAGUGUAGCGGUGAAAUGCGUAGAUAUUAGGAGGAACACCAGUGGCGAAGGCGGCUUACUGGACUGUAACUGACGUUGAGGCUCGAAAGCGUGGGGAGCAAACAGGAUUAGAUACCCCAGUAGUC